GACGAACGCUGGCGGCGUGCUUAACACAUGCAAGUCGAACGGAAAGGCCUGCUUUCCCUUGUGGAUUGCGGGUACUCGAGUGGCGAACGGGUGAGUAACACGUGAGUGAUCUGCCCCCAACUUGGGUAUAAGCCUGGGAAACUGGGUCUAAUUCCCGAUAGGACUGCAGGGUGGUGCCUGUGGUGGAAAACGAUUUUCUAGUGGUGGGGGAUGAGCUCGCGGCCUAUCAGCUUGUUGGGGGGGUAAUGGCCUACCAAGGCGGCGACGGGUAGCCGGCCUGAGAGGGUGGACGGCCACAUUGGGACUGAGAUACGGCCCAGACUCCUACGGGAGGCAGCAGUGGGGAAUAUUGCACAAUGGGCGGAAGCCUGAUGCAGCGACGCCGCGUGGGGGAUGACGGCCUUCGGGUUGUAAACUCCUUUCGACCGCGAGGAAGCCACCUGGUUGGAAGGGUGGUGACGGUAGUGGUAGAAGAAGCACCGGCUAACUACGUG
rnacentral:rRNA from 1 species